rnacentral:rRNA from 1 species
CCUACGGGAGGCAGCAGUGGGGAAUAUUGCACAAUGGGGGAAACCCUGAUGCAGCGACGCCGCGUGAGGGAAGAAGUAUUACGGUAUGUAAAGCUCUAUCAGCAGGGGAGAAGAAAGACGGUACCUGACUAAGAAGCGCCGGCCAACUACGGGCCAGCAGCCGCAGUAAUACGUAGGGGGCACGCGUUAUCCGGAUUUACUGGGUGUAAAGGGAGCGUAGACGGCUGUGCACGUCUGAAGUGAAAGCCCAGGGCUCAACCCUGGGACUGCUGUGGAAACUGUGGGGCUAGAGUGCUGGAGAGGUAAGUGGAAUUCCUGGUGUAGCGGUGAAAUGCGUAGAUAUUAGGAGGAACACCAGUGGCGAAGGCGGCUUACUGGACAGAAACUGACGUUGAGGCUCGAAAGCGUGGGGAGCGAACAGGAUUAGAUACCCGUGUAGUC